rnacentral:tRNA from 1 species
GUGGGUACAGCUCAGUGGUAGAGCACACGCUUCGCAUGCACAAGCGUGCACGAGGGCCUGGGUUCAAUCCCCAGCACCUCCA